CAGAGGGUGCAAGCGUUAAUCGGAAUUACUGGGCGUAAAGCGUGCGUAGACGGUUAUUUAAGUCGGGUGUGAAAGCCCCGGGCUCAACCUGGGAAUUGCAUUCGAGACUGAAUAGCUAGGGUACGGUAGAGGGAAGUGGAAUUUCCGGUGUAGCGGUGAAAUGCGUAGAUAUCGGAAGGAACAUCAGUGGCGAAAGCGACUUCCUGGACCAGUACCGACGUUCAGGCACGAAAGCGUGGGGAGCAAACAGGAUUAGAUACCCUGGUAGUCCACGCCAUAAACGAUGAGGACUAGACGUUGGAAGGGUAAGCCUUUCAGUGUCGUAGCUAACGCGCUAAGUCCUCCGCCUGGGGAGUACGGCCGCAAGGUUG
rnacentral:rRNA from 1 species